rnacentral:lncRNA from 1 species
GGGGGGUUGUGGGGAGGGGGAAUUGAGUUCCAAUUUCCACCUCAGUGCCAUGCACUCAUCCAUUCUAUCAAAGAUGCCAUUCCUGCUAAGGAAAUGCAGGCAAACUUCCGAGUGGUUUGCCUCUCGAUAGUGCCUUCCAUUUCAUCGGAGGAAUCGCCGGACCCCACUACGCUUUCUUCAUUAGCGUCUGCACAAUCUAUUUUCGGAGUCCAUUCGACAAACUGAUGUUUAGUCAAAGUUCGCCAAACCGAAGUAACAUAAUAUGACUAAAAUGGCUUGGAAACAUGGUAGCUGACGUAGACGCCAUCUCCAUCAAAGCCAGCGUUUGGAACACGGCGAAAGCACGCACGAAGAAACCUAAAAAAAAGAGGAGCACCAAUGGAGUUACUGCAAGGGAAAACUGGCUAGGCUACAACUAAACACACAGCAAGGCACCCUCAUCAUGACCGAUCGCCCAGUGUUCCGAGUGUCUCUCAGAACUGAGCCGUCAAUGUCUUUCCUGCUCACCUAGCACCAGACCCCUCGUCGAUCAAAUAAGCUGGGAAGGAAAACUUAUUCCGAGGAGGAGUCAUCUCUUCACCAUAGUACGCAUAAGGAAGAAUUGACGGACCCAUGGAACGGAACAAACGGAGACGCCCGCACCACGAUGAGGAUAAAUUAAAAGAGGAAAUCCGAAAGUACAAGCGGCGAAAACACGGCCCCGAGCCUGCAAUCUUGAGAGAUCACAGGAAGAACAACCCGGACGAGUCGACGCCGACUCUGGUACUCACCUUGCUUUGAUCAGUCCCUCCCGCCAAAAACACGAACUCCGCGGACUGUAGAGGAACGCUUGACUGGACUCCAAAGAACAGAGAUUCGGGUCGAAGGCUUAUCCCGGUGCGGGAUGAGGCCUAGGGUUUCGUCGGGCACGCGGCGGGAAACCGAAAGGCGGC